rnacentral:rRNA from 1 species
UUUCGACAACGGAUCUCUUGGCUCUCGCAUCGAUGAAGAACGCAGCGAAAUGCGAUAAGUAAUGUGAAUUGCAGAAUUCAGUGAAUCAUCGAAUCUUUGAACGCACCUUGCGCCCUUUGGUAUUCCGAGGGGCAUGCCUGUUUGAGUGUC